rnacentral:rRNA from 1 species
UGGGGAAUUUUGCGCAAUGGGGGAAACCCUGACGCAGCAACGCCGCGUGAGUGAUGAAGGCCUUUGGGUCGUAAAGCUCUGUCAGUGGGAACGAAGUGUAGGGGGUUAACAGCCGACCUAUUUGACGGUACCCACAAAGGAAGCACCGGCUAACUCCGUGCCAGCAGCCGCGGUAAUACGGAGGGUGCAAGCGUUGUUCGGAUUUAUUGGGCGUAAAGGGCGUGUAGGCGGUUUCUUAAGUCUGAUGUGAAAGCCCCGGGCUCAACCUGGGAAGUGCAUUGGAAACUGGGAGACUUGAGUACGGGAGAGGGCAGUGGAAUUCCUAGUGUAGGAGUGAAAUCCGUAGAUAUUAGGAGGAACACCGGUGGCGAAGGCGGCUGCCUGGACCGAUACUGACGCUGAGACGCGAAAGCGUGGGGAGCAAACA